AUAAAUCUGAUAUCAGUCUGUAUUUUGAGGGUGAGAUAUAUAUAUAUAUAUAUAUAUAUAUAUAUAUAUAUAUAUAUAUAUAUAUAUAUCUCACCCUCAAAAUACAGACUGAUAUCAGAUUUAU